rnacentral:rRNA from 1 species
CCUACGGGAGGCAGCAGUGGGGAAUAUUGCACAAUGGGGGAAACCCUGAUGCAGCGACGCCGCGUGAGUGAAGAAGUAUCUCGGUACGUAAAGCUCUAUCAGCAGGGAAGAAAAUGACGGUAACUGGCUAAGAAGCCCCGGCUAACUAAGUGCCAGCAGCCGCGGUAAUACGUAGGGGGCAAGCGUUUUCCGGAUUUACUGGGUGUAAAGGGAGCGUAGACGGCAACACAAGUCUGGAGUGAAAUCCCGGGGCUUAACCCCGGAACUGCUUUGGGAACUGUGCGGCUGGAGUGCAGGAGGGGUAGGCGGAAUUCCUGGUGUAGCGGUGAAAUGCGUAGAUAUUAGGAGGAACACCGGUGGCGAAGGCGGCUUGCUGGACUGUAACUGACGUUGAGGCUCGAAAGCGUGGGGAGCAAACAGGAUUAGAUACCCUUGUAGUC